UACGUAGGUGGCAAGCGUUGUCCGGAUUUACUGGGCGUAAAGAGCGCGCAGGCGGUCGUUCAAGUCGCGUGUGAAAGCCCCCGGCUCAACUGGGGAGGGUCACGCGAUACUGAUCGACUCGAAGGCAGGAGAGGGUAGUGGAAUUCCCGGUGUAGUGGUGAAAUGCGUAGAUAUCAGGAGGAACACCAAUGGCGAAGGCAGCUCGCUGGGACGGUACUGACGCUGAGACGCGAAAGCGUGGGGAGCAAACAGG
rnacentral:rRNA from 1 species